UGGGGAAUUUUGGACAAUGGGCGAAAGCCUGAUCCAGCAAUGCCGCGUGUGUGAAGAAGGCCUUCGGGUUGUAAAGCACUUUUGUCCGGAAAGAAAUCCUUGGCUCUAAUACAGUCGGGGGAUGACGGUACCGGAAGAAUAAGCACCGGCUAACUACGUGCCAGCAGCCGCGGUAAUACGUAGGGUGCAAGCGUUAAUCGGAAUUACUGGGCGUAAAGCGUGCGCAGGCGGUUUGCUAAGACCGAUGUGAAAUCCCCGGGCUCAACCUGGGAACUGCAUUGGUGACUGGCAGGCUAGAGUAUGGCAGAGGGGGGUAGAAUUCCACGUGUAGCAGUGAAAUGCGUAGAGAUGUGGAGGAAUACCGAUGGCGAAGGCAGCCCCCUGGGCCAAUACUGACGCUCAUGCACGAAAGCGUGGGGAGCAAACAGGAUUAGAUACCCUGGUAGUCCACGCCCUAAACGAUGUCAACUAGUUGUUGGGGAUUCAUUUCCUUAGUAACGUAGCUAACG
rnacentral:rRNA from 1 species